rnacentral:rRNA from 1 species
UGUUGGUCAAUGGUCGGGAGACUGAACCAGCCAAGCCGCGUGAGGGAGGAAGGUACAGAGUAUCGUAAACCUCUUUUGUCAGGGAACAAAGGCGGGGACGUGUCCCCGGAUGAGUGUACCUGAAGAAAAAGCAUCGGCUAACUCCGUGCCAGCAGCCGCGGUAAUACGGAGGAUGCGAGCGUUAUCCGGAUUUAUGGGGUUAAAAGGGUGCGCGGGGGGUUUGUUAAGGAAGGGGUCAAAGCCCGGGGCUCAACCCCGGCCCGCCGUUGAAACUGGCAGUCUCGAGUUGGAGAGAAGUAUGCGGAAUGCGCGGUGUAGCGGUGAAAUGCAUAGAUAUCGCGCAGAACUCCGAUUGCGAAGGCAGCAUGCCGGCUCCACACUGACGCUGAGGCACGAAAGCGUGGGUAUCG